rnacentral:rRNA from 1 species
UACGUAGGGGGCAAGCGUUAUCCGGAUUCACUGGGCUUAAAGGGUGCGUAGGUGGGCAGGUAAGUCAGUGGUGAAAUCUCCGGGCUUAACCCGGAAACUGCCGUUGAUACUAUUUGUCUUGAAUAUUGUGGAGGUAAGCGGAAUAUGUCAUGUAGCGGUGAAAUGCUUAGAUAUGACAUAGAACACCAAUUGCGAAGGCAGCUUACUGGACAAUCAUUGACACUGAGGCACGAAAGCGUGGGGAUCAAACAGG